rnacentral:rRNA from 1 species
UACGUAGGGGGCAAGCGUUGUCCGGAAUCAUUGGGCGUAAAGAGCGUGUAGGCGGCCAGGUAGGUCUGCUGUGAAAUCCCUCGGCUCAACCAAGGAAGUGCAUCCGAAACUGCUGAGCUUGAGUACUUAAGAGGAUCGCGGAAUUCCCGGUGUAGAGGUGAAAUUCGUAGAUAUCGGGAGGAACACCAGUGGCGAAGGCGGCGAUCUGGGAAGAUACUGACGCUGAGGUGCGAAAGCGUGGGGAGCAAACAGG